GCCGCCGCCUCCUCCCCGUACCUGCCCCCUCCCGAUCCAGUCCUCUCCCACCCACCGCCGACCUCGCCGUCCUCCUCACCCACCGCCACCGACCUCGUCCCUCCCUCCCCUCCCCUCCCCGCAUCUCCCGGCCACCUGUACGCACGAGGAGAUCGAGCGAGCGCCCGAGCGCGCCCGUCCUCGCAGCCUCCUCCCACUAUUCCCCGCACUCGAGCCCCACGAGAGGAGCUCCUCCUGUGGUUUUGCACGCCGCCGCCGGCGACCACCAGCCACAGCUUGCCGGAGCCAGCAAAUGGGUGCCACCCUUCUUCUCUGUUCUCUUCUUCCCGUGCUCUCUUUCUUCCUCCUUUUUCUCUCUCACACAUAUUGAUUUCUCGCUCUGUCUCAAACAGUGCACUCCGCCGCCAUGGGUGCUCGCGUCCCCGACCUUGCAGCGCUCUGCCCCGAUGCCAAGUCCCUCCUUACCGUUCCUGCGCAGCCGAGCCAAAGCCUCGCCCAAGUCCAAGCGCCGCCGCUGUUUGCCUCCUUGCCAUGGCCUCCCCUGCUUCGUCUGCUUCACCGACAGAGCUCUGUCUCCGUCAACGUGUCCUCCCGCCGUCUCUGUUCGCCGCCGGGCUCGAUCGACUCCAGCAGCACCCCCACGGUGAUGCUUCGCUCGGCACCCGAGGUUUAACUUAUUUGCAAGCUUCUGCUCCAAGAUGGCAAUAACUGAUGCAUACUCUGCUAUUUCACCUUGUGCUACCGGGAAAAUCACAUGUGCUGGAUGGCUUGAGGCAGGCAAAAAUGACAACGACGAAGGCUAACAUGGAAAGUGCUAUGGAGCAAGAGGUACCAGAAGGUGGAGAACAAAAGAGUGAUGUUGCUAUUGUUGCAAACCUUUUCUCACUAAAGAAUGUCCCUCCAACACGUUUCUCCCUCACUGGUUGUGUUGUUUUGGUUGGUGCCAUCUUAUGAACCUGUGGUGUAAUGAUACUGCUGGGCCUAACUUAAUGAAAUCCUGGAGAAUUACACUAUUAUUAUCAUUAUAUUCUCAUUUGUUGGCUGACUGGCAAAUUGUGUAAUGUAUUUUUCUUUUUGAGAUACUGUUGGCUGUUG